UACGUAGGGCGCGAGCGUUGUCCGGAAUCAUUGGGCGUAAAGAGCUCGUAGGCGGCCGGUUGCGUCUGCUGUGAAAUCCCGGGGCUUAACCCCGGGCGUGCAGUGGAUACGGGCAGGCUGGAGGCAGGCAGGGGAGAACGGAAUUCCUGGUGUAGCGGUGAAAUGCGCAGAUAUCAGGAGGAACACCGAUGGCGAAGGCAGGUCUCUGGGCAUUAACUGACGCUGAGGAGCGAAAGCAUGGGGAGCGAACAGG
rnacentral:rRNA from 1 species